rnacentral:lncRNA from 1 species
CUAUAAGGAUAGGGAUGGCAAUGGAUUGGAUAUGGGUCGGAUCAACUAAUAUCUGUACCUACUCCAUCAUAAAAAAAAUCUAUAUCCACUCCGUAUCCAUCUUGGAUCCGAUAAAAUAUAGAAUGCGGAAUAGAUUGGAUUGAAUCGGAAAUACCUAUCUUAUCUUGGAUCUUAGGUUGGAUCAUACAAAAAUCAAGCUUAUAUUAAGAUUAAGCUCUUAAAACCUAAAGGACCAACUCACACCAUCUUGAUUAAGCUCUCAAAAUCUAAGGGACCAACUCACAGCACACCUUCCCCAU